GAUGAAGAACGUAGCGAAAUGCGAUAAGUAAUGUGAAUUGCAGAAUUCAGUGAAUCAUCGAAUCUUUGAACGCACAUUGCGCCCCUUGGUAUCCCGAGGGGCAUGCCUGUUCGAGCGUCAUUUCACCACUCAAGCCUGGCUUGGUGUUGGGCGACGUCCUCUUUGGGGACGCGCCUCGAAACGCUCGGCGGCGUGGCACCGGCUUUAAGCGUAGCAGAAUCUUUCGCUUUGGAAGUCGGGGCCCCGUCUGCCGGAAGACCUGCUCGCAAGGUUGACCUCGGAUCAGGCAGGGAUACCCGCUGAACUUAAGCAUAUCAAUAAGCGGAGG
rnacentral:misc_RNA from 1 species